CUUACUUAAUUGCAUCAUCACCAAGCCCUGUGUUUUUGCGGGUAACGUCGCGAGCUUCAGGGACUGCGUGACCACUAACUGCGCUUCGCAAUUCCAGGCGGUCGUCUCGAAUGGUGGAGAGAAAUGUAUGGCCUGCAUUCAGAACCAGAUACUGGACCCCCGCACAAUCAUCACGAAUUGCGCCCUAUCAAGUCCACUGGGGACCAUGAACACAAACGGACUGCUGAUGCUCUCGAAACGACAGUUCACCUCUAGACAGAUGAUCGACUACCACCCAAACAUUCCGGAAAUUGUUCGUUCGCGGGUAUUUGGAAGCAAAGAUUGAAGACACAAUCACUGCCGUGUGUACGCACCUUAUCCCGUACGGCCCCGGUACCAACCCCGAACCGUUAAUGCGAUUAACCUUUGCUACAUCCGAACUGCAAAAUGCCUACGAAAUUGGUCAGCUAAUCUCGCAGUUCGGCGACGUCAAUCCGGCGGUAUUGAUGGGGGAUUUCAACGUGAACGGCCGCUCUACACCGGCAGGAAGCGGUUAUGACCAGUUCCAGCGACUGAUCUCUGUCUUUAACACGGAUGUUUCGAACAAAUGCUCCUUCUGUCGGUCUCCUGUCAAUGUCUACAACGGCAACACGGCGUCCGACAAGGUCAUUGAUUUCGUGUUCGGAAAUGGCGUCCGGAUCUUCAAC